rnacentral:rRNA from 1 species
AUUGAACGCUGGCGGCAGGCCUAACACAUGCAAGUCGAACGGUAACAGGAAGAAGCUUGCUUCUUUGCUGACGAGUGGCGGACGGGUGAGUAAUGUCUGGGAAACUGCCUGAUGGAGGGGGAUAACUACUGGAAACGGAAGCUAAUACCGCAUAACGUCGCAAGACCAAAGAGGGGGACCUUCGGGCCUCUUGCCAUCGGAUGUGCCCAGAUGGGAUUAGCUAGUAGGUGGGGUAACGGCUCACCUAGGCGACGAUCCCUAGCUGGUCUGAGAGGAUGACCAGCCACACUGGAACUGAGACACGGUCCAGACUCCUACGGGAGGCAGCAGUGGGGAAUAUUGCACAAUGGGCGCAAGCCUGAUGCAGCCAUGCCGCGUGUAUGAAGAAGGCCUUCGGGUUGUAAAGUACUUUCAGCGGGGAGGAAGGGAGUAAAGUUAAUACCUUUACUCAUUGACGUUACCCGCAGAAGAAGCACCGGCUAACUCCGUG